UCCAAUAGGAGCCACCAUGCCGUAUCUUCUGCUCGGUUUCUCAAAAUAAAUAAUUAUAUUUAACUUCAAAUAAUAUUUCAUAUACUAAACAGAUUUAACAAUAUUUACUUUAAAUAUUGUUUCAGCUGACUCUUUCACAGCUCCUUGAGGCCAACAGCACUGCCUUUACCAGAACUCAGCACCACAUCUCCCGGCCUGCUUCAAUGCACGGCGAGCUCGGCCAAGAUGGGGACCAGGAGUGCUCUGUGCCCUGCUGGCUAACGGCAGGAAGGCGGGGGACCCACGGCUCACAUGGCAAGAGUUGAACAACAAUGGUGGGACCAGGAAGGCUCCCCAUUCACAGGAAAUGCUCGGUGUGUCAGCAUCGGCGGAGGGCCGUGUGAGGUCACGGGCAACGGCGACCACGCUGGUCACGCGCGGCGGCUCCCAUUCAACGCGACGUCUUUUUUGAUAAACUGGUACUUGUGGGGGGAGGGCGGUCAGGGGAAUGGGAAAGUUGCCUAUAAAUGUUUAACAAAAGAUCUGAACCGGGAAUGGGAAGGUACGUUCUUUCUUUCAAUAGACAAAGCCUCCCACAUCAA